rnacentral:rRNA from 1 species
GAUCCUGGCUCAUGACGAACGCUGGCGGCGUGCUUAACACAUGCAAGUCGAACGAGAAUCUGCGGAACGAGGAUUCGUCCAAGUGAGGCAGAGGACAGUGGCGGACGGGUGAGUAACGCGUGAGGAACCUGCCUUUCAGAGGGGGACAACAGUUGGAAACGACUGCUAAUACCGCAUGACACAUAGAUGUCGCAUGGCAUUUAUGUCAAAGAUUUAUCGCUGAAAG